GACGAACGCUGGCGGCGUGCCUAAUACAUGCAAGUCGAGCGGAUCUUCAUUAGCUUGCUUUUGAAGAUCAGCGGCGGACGGGUGAGUAACACGUGGGCAACCUGCCUGUAAGACUGGGAUAACUUCGGGAAACCGGAGCUAAUACCGGAUAAUCCUUUUCCUCUCAUGAGGAAAAGCUGAAAGACGGUUUCGGCUGUCACUUACAGAUGGGCCCGCGGCUCAUUAGCUAGUUGGUGAGGUAACGGCUCACCAAGGCGACGAUGAGGAGCCGACCGGAGAGGGGGACCGGCCACACUGGGACUGAGACACGGCCAAGACUCCUACGGGAGGCAGCAGUAGGGAAUCUUGCGCAAUGGACGGAAGUCUGACGGAGCAACGCCGCGUGAGCGAUGAAGGCCUUCGGGUCGUAAAGCUCUGUUGUCAGGGAAGAACAAGUACCGGAGUAACUGCCGGUACCUUGACGGUACCUGACCAGAAAGCCACGGCUAACUACGUGCCAGCCGCCGCGGUAACAC
rnacentral:rRNA from 1 species